rnacentral:tRNA from 1 species
GGGCGGGUGGCGAAACGGCAGACGCGCUGGGCUUAGGACCCAGUGGGCUCACCCCCGUGUGGGUUCAAAUCCCACCCCGCCCA